UGUGUGUGUGUGUGUGCAUGUGUAUAUAUAUAUAUAUAUAAAUAUAUAUAUAUAUACACAUGCACACACACACACACA